UAGGAGCCUGUGUCCUUGUGUCCUCUGAUA
rnacentral:piRNA from 2 species